AUGGGAAAGGAAAAGAUUGAAACUCUCUUACCUACAUACUUGGGGUUGUUUGGGGAAAGUCAAUAUACCAAUUCCCAGAAGUGCAAGCUUGGACUAAAAACCGUGGAUUGUGUUCUUCUGGGCUAUGCUUUUCAUAGCGUUGGCUAUAGAUUUUUGAUAAUAAAAUCUGAGGUAUCCGACAUGCAUGUUGGUACGAUUAUGGAGUCGAAUGAUGCGACUUUCUUUGAGGACAUAUUUCCUAUGAAGGAUAUGUCGAGUUCAUCAAACCAGGAGAGACCUACUCCAUCUAGUGAGGAACUCGCUGUAAUUCCUGAACCCACCAUUGCGAUGGAACACGUUGAGAAUCCUAUUGAGGGUGACAAUGGAACUCCCAUGAGGAGUAAGAGACAGAGGACUGCAAAGUCCUUUGGUGAUGAUUUCAUUGUGUACCUUGUGGAUGACACACCCAGGACUAUUUCAGAAGCCUAUGCAUCUCCUGAUGCUGACUACUGGAAGGAAGCUGUUCGUAGCGAGAUGGAUUCCAUGUUAGCUAACGGAACCUGGGAGAUCACUGACCGUCCUUAUGGGUGCAAACCUGUAUGA
rnacentral:rRNA from 1 species